CUUAAUGGAGCUAGGCACAACUGCACGUCUCUUUUGAUAACAGUUUAGGCUGCAAUUUGACCCUCUACAAUGCCUUCCACAAUCCCACAAAAACUUGGAUUAUCAUCUGAUAAAUAUUUCCUGGUUAGUCUAUGCAAAAUCCUAGCAAUUUCAACAAUAACCAUCUACUUGAUAUCUAUAUUCCUUUUGUAUAACAACCAAAAUUCCCCAUCUUUCAAGUUGUUUUUC
rnacentral:lncRNA from 1 species